CCUACGGGUGGCAGCAGUGAGGAAUAUUGGUCAAUGGACGAGAGUCUGAACCAGCCAAGUAGCGUGAAGGAUGACUGCCCUAUGGGUUGUAAACUUCUUUUAUAUGGGAAUAAAACGUUCCACGUGUGGGAUUUUGUAUGUACCAUAUGAAUAAGGGUAGGCUAACUCCGUGCCAGCAGCCGCGGUAAUACGGAGGAUCCGAGUGUUAUCCGGAUUUAUUGGGUUUAAAGGGAGCGUAGGUGGAUUGUUAAGUCAGUUGUGAAAGUUUGCGGUUCAACCGUAAAAUUGCAGUUGAAACUGGCAGUCUUGAGUACAGUAGAGGUGGGCGGAAUUCGUGGUGUAGCGGUGAAAUGCUUAGAUAUCACGAAGAACUCCGAUUGCGAAGGCAGUUCACUGGACUGCAACUGACACUGAGGCUCGAAAGUGUGGGUAUCAAACAGGAUUAGAUACCCGGGUAGUC
rnacentral:rRNA from 1 species